CGGUGGAAGAACCAUUUCGCGGCGCGUGGCGGGCCGGCUCGAUCGUCGCCUCCCCGGGUCAGAUUGUGCAAGGCCGGGAUGCCAUACGCGAGGCCCUGCUGCAAUUCUUGGCGCUAAAAGGAACAAUGGAGGUAAAGAGCAUUUUCACGGUCCGUGUUCCCGGUGUCGCGUUGAGGCGAGGACAAUGGAAGCUGAGCGGAGACCAAGAAAAGGCGUCAGGAACCAUUUCGCGGCGCCAGGAACACUUUCGCGGCGCGUGCGAUAGCGUCUCACCCUGCUUAUCCUUGACUCAAUAGACCUGUCCAUAUCAAAAACGUAAAAUAGGUCGGCUCCUCAUCGCACCGCGAGGCGUUUGUUGAUUCCCCUUGUUGUUGGCGUUCUCCUUGCUGUUGGGAUUGCAGCACUGGCCAAGUUCACAC
rnacentral:misc_RNA from 1 species